AGUGGCGGACGGCUGAGUAACACGUGAGGAACUUGCCCUCCGGUGGGGGACAACCACGGGAAACCGUGGCUAAUACCGCAUGAUGUCAUGUUUCAUAAGGGAUGUGACCAAAGAUUUCGGUUGCCGGAGGAGAGCCUCGCGGCCUAUCAGCUAGUUGGUGAGGUAAAGGCCCACCAAGGCGAUGACGGGUAGCCGGUCUGAGAGGAUGAUCGGCCAGAGGGGGACUGAGACACGGCCCCCACUCCUACGGGAGGCAGCAGCAGGGAAUCUUGCGCAAUGGGCGAAAGCCUGACGCAGCGACGCCGCGUGGGGGAUGAAGGCUUUCGGGUUGUAAACCCCUUUUGCUGGGGAAGAAGAUCUGACGGUACCCAGCGAAUAGGGCCCGGCCAACUACGUGCCAGCAGCCGCGGUAAAACGUAGGGGCCAAGCGUUGUCCGGAAUUAUUGGGCGUAAAGGGUGCGUAGGCGGCCCGGUCAGUCUCGUGUGAAAGCUCCCGGCCCAACCGGGAGAGGUCACGGGAUACUGCCGGGCUUGAGGAUAGCAGAGGAAGGUGGAAUUCCCGGUGUAGCGGUGAUAUACGUAGAUAUCGGGAGGAACACCUGUGGCGAAAGCGACCUUCUGGGCUAUUUCUGACGCUGAGGCACGAGAGCGUGGGGAGCGAACCGGAUUAGAUACCCGGGUAGUCCACGCCCUAAACGAUGAGUGCUAGAUAUGGGGGGUAUCGACCCCCUCCGUGUCGAAGCUAACGCAUUAAGCACUCCGCCUGGGGAGUACGGCCGCAAGGCUAAAACUCAAAGGAAUUGACGGGGGCCCGCACAAGCAGCGGAGCGUGUGGUUU
rnacentral:rRNA from 1 species